rnacentral:rRNA from 1 species
GAUGAACGCUAGCGGCAGGCCUAAUACAUGCAAGUCGGACGGGAUUUGGGAGCUUGCUCCUAAUGAGAGUGGCGCACGGGUGCGUAACACGUAUGUAACCUACCUUAAUCAGGGGGAUAGCCUCUCGAAAGAGAGAUUAAUACCGCAUAAUAUAUUUUUAUGGCCUCGUAGAAAUAUCAAAUAUUUAUAGGAUUAAGAUGGGCAUGCGGAAGAUUAGCUAUUUGGCAAGGUAACGGCUUACCAAGGCUACGAUGUUUAGGGGAUCUGAAAGGGUGACCCCCCACACUGGUACUGAGAAACGGACCAGACUCCUGCGGGAGGCAGCAGUAAGGAAUAUUGGGCAAUGAGCGCAAGCCUGAACCAGCCAUGCCGCGUGCAGGAAGACGGCCCUAUGGGUUGUAAACUGCUUUUGUACCGGAAUAAACCCUUUUACGUGUAGAAGGCUGAAUGUACGGUAAGAAUAAGGAUCGGCUAACUCCGUGCCAGCCGCCGCGGUAA